AACGAACGCUGGCGGCAUGCCUAACACAUGCAAGUCGAGCGCCGUAGCAAUACGGAGCGGCGCACGGGUGAGUAACGCGUGGGAACCUGCUCAGAGGUUCGGGACAACCGCGGGAAACUGCGGCUGAUACCGGAUGAUACCUGAGGGUCAAAGAUUUAUCGCCUUUGGAGGGGCCCGCGUCAGAUUAGGUAGUUGGUGGGGUAACGGCCUACCAAGCCUGUGAUCUGUAGCUGGUCUGAGAGGAUGACCAGCCACACUGGGACUGAGCCACGGCCCAGACUGCUACGGGAGGCAGCAGUGGGGAGUAUUGGACAAUGGGGGCAACCCUGAUCCAGCAAUGCCGCGUGGGUGAUGAAGGCCUUCGGGUUGUAAAGCCCUUUCGGCGUGGACGAUGAUGACGGUACCCGCAGAAGAAGCCCCGGCUAACUUCGUGCCAGCAGCCGCCGCAG
rnacentral:rRNA from 1 species